GGUCCUGUAGUGUAGUGGUUUAUCACUUGCUCUGUCGCAAAGGAUGGGACCGCCAGGUUCGAUUCCUAGAGGUACCU